GCCCGGCUAGCUUAAUCGGUAGAGCGUGAGACUCUUAACGCUUCCCUACAAGAUUCUGUAGGCAUCUCAAGGGGGUUCGACCCUCCCUGUCGGGCU